UACGGGGGGAGCAAGCGUUGUUCGGAUUUACUGGGCGUAAAGGGCGCGUAGGCGGCCAGCGCAAGUCAGUUGUGAAAUCUCCGGGCUUAACUCGGAAAGGUCAACUGAUACUGCGCGGCUAGAGUGCAGAAGGGGCAACUGGAAUUCUUGGUGUAGCGGUGAAAUGCGUAGAUAUCAAGAGGAACACCUGCGGCGAAGGCGGGUUGCUGGGCUGACACUGACGCUGAUGCGCGAAAGCCAGGGGAGCGAACGGG
rnacentral:rRNA from 1 species